CUGCAUGCGGAAGUCUAGAGUGGCAGAGAAGUAUGUUAGAUUAAUACAGGACAUGUACGAGGGCAGCAGAACAGCGGUGAGGUGGGCUGUAGCUGUGACAGACGAAUUUAAGGUGGACGUGGGACUGCAUCAGGGAUCAGACCUGAGCCCCUUCCUGUUUGCAGUGUCUCAGUGAGAGCGGACGGUUGGAGGUGAGAAAGAUGUCAGCGUGAGGGAAUGUUUGGAGGACAGACAGAGCCAUGGCCCAAUGUUAAGGAUCAUCACCUGCCACCGUGGGGGACCUAGGUUCAAGACCCCGACUGGACCAUCCGCCCACAUCCCCCGGACUCGCGGCUGUGAUACCCCGAAAUGCUCCCCGGGCGCUUCAGCUGCCCCCUGCUCCAGUGUGUUCCACUAACAUGCGUUUGUGUUCACUGUGAUGGGUUAAAUGCAGAGGACAAAUUUCGUGUGCAUGCAUGCAUGCAUGCAUGUUCAUGACAAUAAAAGAUGAUGAUUCUU